rnacentral:rRNA from 1 species
UACGUAGGGGGCAAGCGUUGUCCGGAUUUAUUGGGCGUAAAGAGCGUGUAGGCGGCUUUACAGGUCCGUUGUGAAAACUCGAGGCUCAACCUCGAGACGCCGGUGGAAACCGUAAAGCUAGAGUCCGGAAGAGGAGAGUGGAAUUCCUGGUGUAGCGGUGAAAUGCGCAGAUAUCAGGAAGAACACCAGUGGCGAAGGCGGCGCACUGGCCCGGUACUGACGCUGAGGCACGAAAGCGUGGGGAGUAAACAGG